rnacentral:rRNA from 1 species
UGGGGAAUUUUGGACAAUGGGGGAAACCCUGAUCCAGCCAUCCCGCGUGUGCGAUGAAGGCCUUCGGGUUGUAAAGCACUUUUGGCAGGAAAGAAACGUCAUGGGUUAAUACCCCGUGAAACUGACGGUACCUGCAGAAUAAGCACCGGCUAACUACGUGCCAGCAGCCGCGGUAAUACGUAGGGUGCAAGCGUUAAUCGGAAUUACUGGGCGUAAAGCGUGCGCAGGCGGUUCGGAAAGAAAGAUGUGAAAUCCCAGAGCUCAACUUUGGAACUGCAUUUUUAACUACCGGGCUAGAGUGUGUCAGAGGGAGAUGGAAUUCCGCGUGUAGCAGUGAAAUGCGUAGAUAUGCGGAGGAACACCGAUGGCGAAGGCAGCCUCCUGGGAUAACACUGACGCUCAUGCACGAAAGCGUGGGGAGCAAACAGG